rnacentral:rRNA from 1 species
UACAGAGGUCCCAAGCGUUGUUCGGAUUUACUGGGCGUAAAGGGUGCGCAGGUGGGUUGGCAAGUUUGAUGUGAAAGCCCCGGGCUUAACCCGGGAAUGGCAUUGAAUACUGCUGAUCUGGAGGAUUGGAGGGGGGACUGGAAUUCUUGGUGUAGCAGUGAAAUGCGUAGAUAUCAAGAGGAACACCGAUGGCGAAGGCAGCUCGCUGGGACGGUACUGACGCUGAGGCGCGAAAGCGUGGGGAGCGAACAGG